rnacentral:rRNA from 1 species
GUCCUUUGCAUCAAUACAUAACGGAUAAUGCCUGCCCAGUGAACUUUUAAACGGCCGCGUUAGCGUGAGCGUGCUAAGGUAGCGUAAUAAAUAGCCUCUCAAUUGGAGGCCAGUGAAUGGCAACACUAAGAACACCUGUACUCUUUAUACUAAAAAAAUUUUUCAUUUGAGUGAAAAGGCUCAAAUAAUGAAGGAAGACGAAAAGACCCCGCGGAACUUUACUUUCAACAUCAAUACCAAAAACAUAAGAUAUAAAAAGUUUGAUUGGGGCAAUCUCGGAACAACCAAGCUUCCGAUAACUCUCUUAAAAGGAUAAAAAACUAAGUAAGGACAUAACAGAAGUUACCCCGGGGAUAACAGCGUAAUCCAACUUGAGAGUGCACAUCGAAAGUUGGGUUUGCGACCUCGAUGUUGGCUUAAGGAUAUCCGCAUUAGUGCAGCCGCUAUGCAGGAUAGUCUGUUCGACUACCGAACCCUUA